UCAGUUUCCAAACGCUUAUUGAGUGUUGUGAGAUGGAAAGCUUUUUUGAAAUGUGUUGCAGGCAUCCAUUUCAAAAUGAGCAAAUAUUUGCACAAAAACAACAAAGUUUAUGUUUGAGCAUUAAAUAUCUUGUCGUUGUGGUGCAUUCAACUGAAUAGAGGUUGAAAAAGAUUUGCAAAUCAUUGUGUUCUGUUUUUAUUUACAUUUUACACAAUGUCCCAACUUCAGUGGAACUGGGGUUGUACAAGGAA